UACGUAUGGUGCAAGCGUUAUCCGGAUUUACUGGGUGUAAAGGGAGCGUAGGCGGCGCGUUAAGUCUGAUGUGAAAACCCGAGGCUCAACCACGGGAGUGCAUUGGAAACUGGCGGGCUGGAGUGCCGGAGAGGUAAGCGGAAUUCCUAGUGUAGCGGUGAAAUGCGUAGAUAUUAGGAGGAACCCCAGUGGCGAAGGCGGCUUACUGGACGGCAACUGACGCUGAGGCUCGAAAGCGUGGGGAGCAAACAGG
rnacentral:rRNA from 1 species